GAAGGGAAGAAGCUGAAGGAUGGGAUUGACCUGGCUGACUGAGGAGCACAGACCCUGUUGGAGUGAAGAAUUUUGUCUGAGCUUUGCCUUUGUAAUGAGGCCAUCUUCAUGGUGACCCCAGGCUGGAGAGGCCACCCUAGGGCAUCCCUACCUUGCCUGUUCUUCUUGGUCUUAAGAAACCAACUCUCUUUGGGAGGCCGAGAUGAGGAUGAGGAAGACAAUUGCUGAAUUGGGACUGGCUGAAUCUACUUAUGAUUUCAUCAGUCAAUGUUUACAAGUGUGCAGGCCUGUGGUGUGCCGGGGAGAGCUGCUGGCAAACCGGCUGGAGUUGGGCUUUCUGGAGCAGCUCUCACCAUAGACUCUGCAUGGACAUCUUCUCCGCCCGGCAACAUGCUGCCCUUUCACUAGGGCCUGUUUAUAAAGAGUUCUACAG